CGUUUGAAUUGUUAGGUUAGAGUUGAGCUGUUAUCUAAUUAUAUUGCUUAACUCUAGUCGAACAGUGCCACUCAUUUACCUGGGGACUUAUUCUUACAAACAUUAGUUUGUUAAUUGAACGUUGAUUAUAUAAAAAUUAAUAC
rnacentral:misc_RNA from 1 species